rnacentral:rRNA from 1 species
CCUACGGGUGGCAGCAGUGAGGAAUAUUGGUCAAUGGACGAGAGUCUGAACCAGCCAAGUAGCGUGAAGGAUGACUGCCCUAUGGGUUGUAAACUUCUUUUAUAUGGGAAUAAAAUGGUCCACGUGUGGGAUUUUGUAUGUACCUUAUGAAUAAGGAUCGGCUAACUCCGUGCCAGCAGACGCGGUAAUACGGAGGAUCCGAGCGUUAUCCGGAUUUAUUGGGUUUAAAGGGAGCGUAGGUGGGUUGUUAAGUCAGUUGUGAAAGUUUGCGGCUCAACCGUAAAAUUGCAGUUGAAACUGGCAGUAUGGAGUACAGUAGAGGUAGGCGGAAUUCGUGGUGUAGCGGUGAAAUGCUUAGAUAUCACGAAGAACUCCGAGUGCGAAGGCAGCUUACUGGACUGCAACUGACAUUGAGGCUAGAAAGUGUGGGUAUCAAACAGGAUUAGAUACCCGUGUAGUC